UCCUAAAGUGUGUUUACUGCCCUGAGGGGAUGGGACGGGGGGUGCGCGGGCCGAGGGGCUGGAUGAGGGAACCGACAGGCGCUGUCGAGCUAAAGGCGAACAACCGAUCCCGUUCCCGUGAACAAAUCCGCCCGCCUGCCGGCCCGAUUCCAUACAUUUUGUCCACAUCUUUCUUGAAGUGUCUCACCAAAACUGGACACAGUACUCCAGCUGAGGCCUCAUCAGUGAGGAGUAGAACUGAACAGUUAGCUCCCAUGUCUUUCAUAUGAUGCUCCUGUUAAUGCAUCCCAGAAACUAGAAGAUGGCAAAUUGAAAACUGAUAAAAGGAAGUAUUUUCAUACAAUGCAGUUUUGCCUUAAAGGAUGGACAACAACAGGAAGUGUGUGCUGAUUACAAAUAAA